AGCGGCGGACGGGUGAGGAACACGUGAGUGAUCUAUCGAUGAGUGGGGGAUAUCGGGCCGAAAGGCGCGGCAAUCCCGCAUACGUUCCUACGGGAAGAAAGCUGGGCAACUGGCGCUCAUCGCGGAGCUCGCGGCCCAUUAGCUAGUUGGGGGGGUAACGGCCUCCCAAGGCGACGAUGGGUAGCCGGCCUGAGAGGGUGAACGGCCACACUGGGACUGAGACACGGCCCAGACUCCUACGGGAGGCAGCAGUAGGGAAUCUUCCACAAUGGGCGCAAGCCUGAUGGAGCAACGCCGCGUGAGUGAAGACGGCCUUCGGGUUGUAAAGCUCUGUCUGUCGGGACGAAGACCGGGACGGGAGUCCCGGGGAGCCGGUACCGACGAAGGAAGCCCCUGCAAACUACGUGCCAGCAGCCGCGGUAAGACGUAGGGGGCAAGCGUUGUCCGGAAUUACUGGGCGUAAAGGGCGUGUAGGCGGUGCGAUACGUAGCGGUUUUAAGCCUCCGGCUCACCCGGAGGAGGGCGGCUAAACGGUCGCACUGGAGGGCAGGAGAGGUGCGUGGAAUUCCUGGUGGA
rnacentral:rRNA from 1 species